GGCAGAACCGCGAGAGACAGAUGCUCAGGGCGCCUACAACUCCAAGGAGCAGGCAGGAGAGAUGGUGCUGUGACAGAGACCAAGGGCAACACUCUAGACCAGGAGAAAGGUCUGCUUUUACCAUGGUAAAUGUUGAUAGCUAUAAGAAGCAGGGGGACUCCCUGGAAAAGAUGUAACUGAGUGCCAGAGUCACAUAGCUGGAAAGGAGCAGCACUGGGGUUCGGAGCUGGGUCUGCUGGAUUCCUCAUUUUCAGCUUUUGGUUCGUUCCCCCCUUUCCUUUGAUUUUUCUUUCCUUUCUUUUACAUUUUAAAAUUUA